GAGGCGGAACAGCCUUCUUAAUCAGGUCCUGCUACGACUGAUGAUGACUAAGCUCCAAGUAUAACAGACAGAACUGGUUUGAGAAUUUUAAAGCACUCACAGCACAGCUUCUAUAGCUUCAGUGGAGACUAUUUAGUAAGAGAACUGAGAAACAGUAAGUGAUGACACUCACUAAUCUCAGUAUUCUCCUGGCUUCCCAUCCUUGAUGUCAAUACCACAUUGGUGUGCUCCCAUGCAAUACAGCUGUACUGCUAUAGACAACUCAGUUUCAUGCUGUUGAAGCCAUGCUUCUGUGACGGCAGGUCUAAGGACCCUGGACUGUGGUAUGUAUCCUUAUCCAAAGAGAUGUCCUGGCAUAUGGCCAGCUCGCUUCUGGCAUGCUCACUCUGCGUCUACUUCACCAGGCCUUCUCUUCUGAAAUUUCCUAUGUAGACAGUAUGCAGGAAUAUUCCACCCAGAAGGGAUGUGAGAUGAAUAAAA